CAGACGCAUAGAAAAUGACGGACAUGUAUCUGUUUUUCUUUUUAUCGCAGUUUUGUGACUGAAUUAUAUUCUGACAACAAAUGCCGGAUGGCAUUCCCCCGUGUUUCCGCAACGUCUUUGGAAGAGCACACUGAAGACGUUGAUAUCGAGCGAACCC